rnacentral:rRNA from 2 species
GUGCACGGUCAUAGCGAUGGUGUUUACCCGGUCCCAUCCCGAACCCGGAAGUCAAGCCCAUCUGCGUCAGUUCUGGUACUGUGGUGCGAGAGCCCACGGGAACGACUGUCACUGUGCCUC